GAAAUGCGAUAAGUAAUGUGAAUUGCAGAAUUCCGUGAAUCAUCGAAUCUUUGAACGCACAUUGCGCCCUCUGGUAUUCCGGGGGGCAUGCCUGUCCGAGCGUCAUUGCAACCCUCAAGCACGGCUUGUGUGAUGGGCGCCGUCCUCUAGGGGACGCACCCGAAAGGCAAUGGCGGCGUCGCGGUUAUCCGAUCGGCCAAAGUGUAUGGGGCUAUGUCACGCACUCUGAGGCCCGGACCGGCGCCAGUCCGAAUUUUCAAUUUAUCAAGGUUGACCUCGGAUCAGGUAGGGAUACCCGCUGAACUUAA
rnacentral:misc_RNA from 1 species